GUAAGCAUGCGCUCAUGUUUAUUUCCAUACCUUGAUGUUUAUGUAAGUCAUACCUAUCCAAGUGGGAAUAAUAUCAUCAACAGAUUACUGGUUAGCAGUUAAUUUGUAGCUACGUUAGAGAAAAGUUGAAUUUUUGAUUAAAAUGUCGUGUUUUGGCUUCUGUCGUUCCAAAACCAAGGAAGUAGAUACAAACAUUUCAUCGUAUACAUUGGAUAAAAUUGAUGAUUACGACAUUCCAGCAGAAAUUUAUCUGAAAAAGUAUCAAAAGCAAAGUGAUGACCGUAAUAUUUCCGCAUCAAACGCAUCUUAAAAAGAUGUAUACUUUAAAAUCAUUAAUUAAUUAAGGAAAUUGUAUUUCACAUCUACGAGUAUUGAAUAAUAAAUGUAUAUUAAGUGAA